rnacentral:rRNA from 1 species
UGGGGUGCUCGAGUGGCGAACGGGUGAGUAACACGUGAGUAACCUGCCCUUGACUUUGGGAUAACUUCAGGAAACUGGGGCUAAUACCGGAUAGGAGCUCCUGCUGCAUGGUGGGGGUUGGAAAGUUUCGGCGGUUGGGGAUGGACUCGCGGCUUAUCAGCUUGUUGGUGGGGUAGUGGCUUACCAAGGCUUUGACGGGUAGCCGGCCUGAGAGGGUGACCGGCCACAUUGGGACCGGGAUACGGCCCAG